rnacentral:rRNA from 1 species
AACGAACGCUGGCGGCAGGCCUAACACAUGCAAGUCGAGCGAAGCCUUCGGGCUUAGCGGCGGACGGGUGAGUAACGCGUGGGAACGUGCCCUUUGGUACGGAAUAGCCCCGGGAAACUGGGAGUAAUACCGUAUGUGGUCGAGAGACGAAAGAUUUAUCGCCAAAGGAUCGGCCCGCGUUGGAUUGGGUAGUUGGUGGGGUAAUGGCCUACCAAGCCGACGAUCCAUAGCUGGUUUGAGAGGAUGAUCAGCCACACUGGGACUGAGACACGGCCCAGACUCCUACGGGAGGCAGCAGUAAGGAAUUUUUCGCAAUGGGGGAAACCCUGACGAAGCAACACCGCGUGAGGGAUGAAGGCCUUUUGGUUGUAAACUUCUUUUUUGAGGGAAUAAAUAUGAAGGUACCUCAAGAAUAAGCAUCGGCUAACUACGUGCCAGCAGCCGCCGUAAGAC